UUGAUAUUAAAUUAGAACUCAUUGUGGACAUGACCAUAAUACAUUUUCCCACUAGGUUUUUUUCCUGCUAUAUUGCUAGCAUUCAGCCUACUGGGAACAUUU